rnacentral:lncRNA from 1 species
UAAUAUGUUUCCCAGCAGCGGAGAAGGUGUGUUUAUUCAGGGGGGGGGAGAGAGCCGGGGGACGAGAGGGGCGAGAGAAACGCGUGAAUGGCAGGCGGCCGCCUUUUGUUGUAUCGACACACACACCGCCGUGCGGAGAGGGAGGGAGAGAGAGAGACGGUUCCUUUGCCGAAAGAGAGCGAGGAAGGAGGACUGGUCAGCUCAGGUCUCCUUCCCGUCCGCUGUGGCUCUCGGCCUGCCCCCCUCCUCCUCCUCCUCCUCCUCCUCUCCUCUCUCCCCGCGCGGCUCCGGCCUGCCACGGGAGCGGCGUGUGUCUUGCGCGCGAUUGUGACCCCCCGUGGGUCGCCUCACACGCGGGCAGGGAGGGGUCACUCGUCCGCCAGGCCCCGUCGGUCUCCGUGUCCCUGUGUCUGUCGGUGUCCGGCCGUGUGCGUGUCUCCGUGUGUCCCGUCCCAUAAGACACGGGGACAGCCGCUACAGAGAGGAGAAAGCCGCUGUUACCCAGAGCCCCACCGCUGACCCCGAGCAGCUCUGCGCCUGUGCUCACAGUCCGCUCAUUUAGCUCUGACCGAGCUCCUCUGACAGGGGCAGGCAGGGGCUAACGGCCCCAGGGGGGCUAUAUUUCUCAGGGGGAGGGUGUGAGGGAGAGGGGGACCGGCGGAGGACAGGGGGCACAGCUGAAGGCAGUGCAGUCAGCGGUCUGCAGGAAGGCCCACUGGAGCGACAGCCUGUGUCACCAGCCUUUCGCACAGCCUACUGUACCUGAGGAUCCUGGGCUUGUGCUGAUCGCCAGGGCUUCUGAAACUGUGCAAACAGGUUCGGAAUUUUACUGUGAAAUAGAACAGCUCUCGGGGAUGGGGGGGCUCAGAGGGAACGGGAGGAUCAGGGAUACAAGGGGGAUACGGAAGGAGGGAAGGAAGGGAGGGAGAAUGAGUGCACUGGUCAACCCCCUCGGUGAAGGCGCUUGGAUUCCGGAGCGGGAGGAGAGAGGAGCCGGGCGCUGACCUUCCCGGAUGGAGGGAUGAGCACUCUCUGGGCCGGGAGAGGGGCUGGACAAGGAGGGGUUACUGAGCCCGGUGGCGCAGGUCUUACAGUAACGAGAUAGAGAGCUUUAGUGUCAGAUAGGGAUGAUCUGUGUUUAGUGGGAUUAUGUUAAUCACCCUGGCUCGGCGGCGGGGGGGGUGGGAGAAUAAUGCCCCAGCCUCCUCACCCUCACACAGCCAGCACAGCAGUGGCAGGGCUGGUGCUCCGCGGGACAGGGCAGGGGUGACAGCUGCUGCAGAAAGCCCAGAGCUCCUGACGGACAGAAGUCCCUCUCGCUCUCCUGCCCCCCUCCCUCUCCACUGCUCUUUGUUCCUCAGUAGGACUCGUUUAUUCAUAUCCGUCCUCCUGAUGGAGACCCCCUCCCCAAGAACACACACAUGGGCGUUUAGACCAGAGUCACUGAGCUCUCCUGGGCUCUGCUGACCUCCUUCAGCUGCCCCCCCCACCUCAAUUUCUCCCUUCUGUACGGCCCUGCUGUUAAAAUAUUCUGCAUCUUUCUCUCCCCUCCUGCCGCACGGACUCAUAAUAGUGUCCUCCUCUCUCUCCCUCCCCUGUCCUCCUUUCUCUUUCUCUCCACCCUCCUGUCCUCCUCUCUCCCUCCUCUGUUCUCUCUCUCCACUCUACUGUCCUCCUCUCUCCAUCCUCUGUUCUCUCUCCACUCUCCUGUCCUCCUCUCUCUCCCUCCUCUGUUCUCUCUCCACUCUCCUGUCCUCCUCUCUCCCUCCUCUGUUCUCUUUCUCCACUCUCCUGUCUUCCUUGCUCCCUCCUCUCUCUCCACUCUCCUGUCUCUCCCUCCUCUCUUUCAGUCAUGAGAGCACAAGAAAGGUGACAGACAAGAGGAGCCAUUCAGCCUGUCCUGUUCGGUAGUUAGUAGUUCAUUGGUCUCAGGGCCUCACCCAAGCUGUUUCCUGAAGGAAACUGGCGAAUCGGCUUCAACAACAUGGCUGUGUAGCUUGUUCAGACUCCCACAAGCCUUUGUGUACAGACGGGCCUGCUGUUUUCCAGUCCCUGUCCCCUUGUACUCAGUUGUAUUAUACCCUCCUCACUCACUCUUUUCAGCCUUCAUUUCCUGUCUCACAUCAAUGACACCUCCUGUCGAUCACUGAAUGAACACUCAGUCAUCUAAGCAAGUAGCUGUUAAGAACUUAUUUUGAAUGAACGUUUGUUUAGAUUCAGGUUGCCAAGAGUUGGGUUCACAGAUGCCUAAAAGUAUUAUCUUAAUUAAAAGCAACUGGAGUUAAUUUGGUUUAAAAUUAAUCAGUGCCUUAAAA